GAUUAGCUAGCUCAGUCGGUAGAGCAUUUGACUUUUAAUCAAAGGGUCCCGGGUUCGAAUCCCGGGCUGAUCA
rnacentral:tRNA from 1 species